rnacentral:misc_RNA from 1 species
AAGUCGUAACAAGGUUUCCGUAGGUGAACCUGCGGAAGGAUCAUUACCGAUUAUAGCGAGCCUCGGUCGCUUCUGACCUGAGGUAUCGUGAAACCUGUAUUUAAAACCCACUCUUAAUAAAAAUUUAUUGUAUCAAUUAUGAUGAUAAUAUAAAGAUCACUUUCAACAACGGAUCUCUUGGCUCUC